GAUUCAUCGUCAGCGAGGUUGGCUCGACGUWGGUUCGUGAUGACACGGGGUUCCUUGUGUUUCCUGAGUCACGCGUCCUUCGCCCUGUGCCCGAUCGCGCCGGCGUGCACUUCUCCCCCAGUAGGACGUCGCGACCCGUUGGGUGUCGGUCUACGGUCCGGGCGGUAAGACUGUCGCGUCGCUCAAAAGGCGAGCGCGUCAAACCCCCGGUUUACCCGGCCGGCUGCCCGGCGGUACACACACGGUAUCGGGCCGCAAUUUAUAUUUAGAUUGCGUCUAGACCCGCCGCAAGCACGGUCAUGGAAAAUCGAUGGUCAAACGGACCUGGUGCCGUCCUCGAACCUGAUCAGCUGUUGGUAGGCGGUGCUCUCUGACCGGCCCAUAGAAAGUAAUACCGGUCGGCGACGCUAUUGCUUUGGGUACUCUCAGGACCCGUCUUGAAACACGGACCAAGGAGUCUAACAUGUGCGCGAGUCAUUGGGACUAUUGAAACCUAAAGGCGUAAUGAAAGUGAAGGUCGUACCUUGCGUCGACCGAGGGAGGAUGGGCCGCGUCCAGAUGCGGCUCCGCACUCCCGGGGC
rnacentral:rRNA from 1 species